AUUGAACGCUGGCGGCAGGCUUAACACAUGCAAGUCGAGCGAGCGGCGGACGGGUGAGUACUGUCUGGGAAACUUCCUGAUGUAGGGGGCUAACUACUGGAAACGGUAGCUAAUACCGCAUACCUUCAGAUGAGCCCAGAUGGGAUUAGCUAGUAGGUGGGGUAAUGGCGCACCUAGGCGACGAUCCCUAGCUGGUCUGAGAGGAUGAUCAGCCACACUGGAACAGAGAGACGGUCCAGACUCCUACGCGAGGCAGCAGUGGGGAAUAUUGCACAAUGGGCGCAAGUCUGAUGCAGCGAUGCCGCGGGUGUGAAGGAGGCCUUCGGGUUGUAAAGCACUUUCAGCGAGGAGGCGUUACGAGCAGAAGAAGCACCGGCUAACUCCGUGCCAGCCGCCGCGGUAAUAC
rnacentral:rRNA from 1 species